AAAUUGAAGAGUUUGAUCAUGGCUCAGAUUGAACGCUGGCGGCAGGCCUAACACAUGCAAGUCGAACGGUAGCACAGAGAGCUUGCUCUCGGGUGACGAGUGGCGGACGGGUGAGUAAUGUCUGGGAAACUGCCUGAUGGAGGGGGAUAACUACUGGAAACGGUAGCUAAUACCGCAUAACGUCGCAAGACCAAAGAGGGGGACCUUCGGGCCUCUUGCCAUCAGAUGUGCCCAGAUGGGAUUAGCUAGUAGGUGGGGUAACGGCUCACCUAGGCGACGAUCCCUAGCUGGUCUGAGAGGAUGACCAGCCACACUGGAACUGAGACACGGUCCAGACUCCUACGGGAGGCAGCAGUGGGGAAUAUUGCACAAUGGGCGCAAGCCUGAUGCAGCCAUGCCGCGUGUAUGAAGAAGGCCUUCGGGUUGUAAAGUACUUUCAGCGGGGAGGAAGGCGAUAAGGUUAAUAACCUUGUCGAUUGACGUUACCCGCAGAAGAAGCACCGGCUAACUCCGUGCCAGCAGCCGCGGUAAUACGGAGGGUGCAAGCGUUAAUCGGAAUUACUGGGCGUAAAGCGCACGCAGGCGGUCUGUCAAGUCGGAUGUGAAAUCCCCGGGCUCAACCUGGGAACUGCAUUCGAAACUGGCAGGCUAGAGUCUUGUAGAGGGGGGUAGAAUUCCAGGUGUAGCGGUGAAAUGCGUAGAGAUCUGGAGGAAUACCGGUGGCGAAGGCGGCCCCCUGGACAAAGACUGACGCUCAGGUGCGAAAGCGUGGGGAGCAAACAGGAUUAGAUACCCUGGUAGUCCACGCCGUAAACGAUGUCGACUUGGAGGUUGUGCCCUUGAGGCGUGGCUUCCGGAGCUAACGCGUUAAGUCGACCGCCUGGGGAGUACGGCCGCAAGGUUAAAACUCAAAUGAAUUGACGGGGGCCCGCACAAGCGGUGGAGCAUGUGGUUUAAUUCGAUGCAACGCGAAGAACCUUACCUACUCUUGACAUCCAGAGAACUUAGCAGAGAUGCUUUGGUGCCUUCGGGAACUCUGAGACAGGUGCUGCAUGGCUGUCGUCAGCUCGUGUUGUGAAAUGUUGGGUUAAGUCCCGCAACGAGCGCAACCCUUAUCCUUUGUUGCCAGCGGUCCGGCCGGGAACUCAAAGGAGACUGCCAGUGAUAAACUGGAGGAAGGUGGGGAUGACGUCAAGUCAUCAUGGCCCUUACGAGUAGGGCUACACACGUGCUACAAUGGCGCAUACAAAGAGAAGCGACCUCGCGAGAGCAAGCGGACCUCAUAAAGUGCGUCGUAGUCCGGAUUGGAGUCUGCAACUCGACUCCAUGAAGUCGGAAUCGCUAGUAAUCGUAGAUCAGAAUGCUACGGUGAAUACGUUCCCGGGCCUUGUACACACCGCCCGUCACACCAUGGGAGUGGGUUGCAAAAGAAGUAGGUAGCUUAACCUUCGGGAGGGCGCUUACCACUUUGUGAUUCAUGACUGGGGUGAAGUCGUAACAAGGUAACCGUAGGGGAACCUGCGGUUGGAUCACCUCCUUACCUUAAAGAA
rnacentral:rRNA from 1 species